UUGGGGUUGUGGUGGCAUGUCAAACCUAUGGGGUAUCCUCUGUUCUUGUUCCAUCUGUUCCUGUUGGGCCUGUUCGCGCAUCUGUUGUUCGUGCAUCUGUCUGUGGAUCAUUUGGGCCCUUUGCAUCUCUUGUGCUCUCUGCAUCUCCAUUUGCUGCAUCUGUUGCUGUCUCAUCUGCUCCUCCCUGGCGCGCUGGCUCUCCAUG
rnacentral:misc_RNA from 1 species